GACGAACGCUGGCGGCGUGCUUAACACAUGCAAGUCGAACGGUAAGGCCCUUCGGGGUACACGAGUGGCGAACGGGUGAGUAACACGUGGGUGAUCUGCCCAGCACUUCGGGAUAAGCCUGGGAAACUGGGUCUAAUACCGGAUAGGACCACUGCCUGCAUGGGUGGUGGUGGAAAGCUUUUGCGGUGUGGGAUGGGCCCGCGGCCUAACAGCUUGUUGGUGGGGUGAUGGCCUACCAAGGCGGCGACGGGUGGCCGGCCUGAGAGGGUGACCGGGCAGAAUGGAACUGAGAGACGGCCCAGGAUCCUACGGGAGGCAGCGGUGGAGAAUAUGGCACAAUGGGCGCAAGCCUGAUGCAGCGACGCCGCGUGAGGGAUGACGGCCUUCGGGUUGUAAACCUCUUUCAGCACCGACGAAGCGCAAGUGACGGUAGGUGCAGAAGAAGGACCGGCCAACUACGUGCCAGCCGCCGCAGUAA
rnacentral:rRNA from 1 species